GAUGAACGCUGGCGGCGUGCUUAACACAUGCAAGUCGAGCGAGAAAAGUUCUUCGGAGCUUUUCUAGCGGCGGACGGGUGAGUAACACGUGGGCAACCUGCCUCAUAGAGGGGAAUAGCCUUCCGAAAGGAAGAUUAAUACUGCAUACCAUUGUUGAAAGGCACCUUUUAACACUCAAAGGAGCAAUCCGCUAUGAGAUGGGCCCGCGGUGCAUUAGCUAGUUGGUGAGGUAACGGCUCACCAAGGCGACGAUGCGUAGCCGACCUGAGAGGGUGAUCGGCCACAUUGGAACUGAGACACGGUCCAGACUCCUACGGGAGGCAGCAGUGGGGAAUAUUGCACAAUGGGGGAAACCCUGGUGCAGCAACGCCGCGUGAGUGAUGAAGGUCUUCGGAUUGUAAAGCUCUGUCUUUAGGGACGAUAAUGACGGUACCUAAGGAGGAAGCCACGGCUAACUACGUGCCAGCAGCCGCGGUAACAC
rnacentral:rRNA from 1 species